rnacentral:rRNA from 1 species
AGGGCACCACCAGGAGUGGAGCCUGCGGCUUAAUUUGACUCAACACGGGAAAACUCACCCGGCCCGGACACCGUAAGGAUUGACAGAUUGAGAGCUCUUUCUUGAUUCGGUGGUUGGUGGUGCAUGGCCGUUCUUAGUUGGUGGAGCGAUUUGUCUGGUUUAUUCCCAUAACCAGCGAAACUCUAGCCUACUAAAUAAUGACCGGAUAGCUUCCUCCGGGUUACUUUUUAAAAGGAACAACGGUGGUUCACCCCCAAAAAUUUAAGCAAAAACAGGUCGGUGAUGCCCUAAAAGUUCGGGGGCGGCACCCCCCCAAAACGAAAUUGUUCACCGUGCUUUUUCACCCAACUCUGUCAAGAUUGGAAAACCCAAUGAACCUUCUUCGUGAUUGGGAUAGGGGAUUGUAAUUAUUCCCCUUGAACGAGGAAUUCCCAGUAAGCGCGAGUCAUAAGCUCGCGUUUGAUUACUUCCCUGCCCUUUGUACACACCGCCCGUCGCUACUACCGAUUGAAUGUUUUA